rnacentral:rRNA from 1 species
AUUGAACGCUGGCGGCAUGCCUUACACAUGCAAGUCGAACGGCAGCACGGGUGCUUGCACCUGGUGGCGAGUGGCGAACGGGUGAGUAAUACAUCGGAACGUACCUUAUCGUGGGGGAUAACGCAGCGAAAGCUGUGCUAAUACCGCAUACGCACUGAGGGGGAAAGCGGGGGAUCGCAAGCACUCGCGCGAUUAGAGCGGCCGAUGCCUGAUUAGCUUGUUGGUGGGGUCAACGCCCACCAAGGCGACGAUCAGUAGCUGGUCUGAGAGGACGAUCAGCCACACUGGGACUGAGACACGGCCCAGACUCCUACGGGAGGCAGCAGUGGGGAAUUUUGGACAAUGGGGGCAACCCUGAUCCAGCAAGGCCGCGUGAGUGAAGAAGGCCUUCGGGUUGUAAAGCUCUUUUGUCAGGGAAGAAACACCGGCUCUAACACAGUCCGGGAAUGACGGUACCUGAAGAAUAAGCACCGGCUAACUACGUGCCAGCCGCCGCCGUAA